rnacentral:misc_RNA from 1 species
GAAAUGCGAUAAGUAAUGUGAAUUGCAGAAUUCAGUGAAUCAUCGAAUCUUUGAACGCACAUUGCGCCCGCCAGUAUUCUGGCGGGCAUGCCUGUCCGAGCGUCAUUUCAACCAUCAAGCCCCCGGGCUUGUGUUGGGGACCUGCGGCUGCCCGCAGGCCCUGAAGACCAGUGGCGGGCUCGCUGUCACACCGAGCGUAGUAGCAAUCACCUCGCUCAGGGCGUGCUGCGGGUUCCGGCCGUUAAACAGCCUUACAAAACCCAAGGUUGACCUCGGAUCAGGUAGGAAGACCCGCUGAACUUAAGC